UUGUGCCAAGCAGCCGCGGUAAAACCAGCACCUCAAGUGGUCAGGAUGAUUAUUGGGCCUAAAGCAUCCGUAGCCUGUUCUGUAAGUUUUCGGUUAAAUCCAUGCGCUCAACGUAUAGGCUGCCGAAAAUACUGCAGAACUAGGGAGUGGGAGAGGUAGACGGUACUCGGUAGGAAGGGGUAAAAUCCUUUGAUCUAUUGAUGACCACCUGUGGCGAAGGCGGUCUACCAGAACACGUUCGACGGUGAGGGAUGAAAGCUGGGGGAGCAAACCGGAUUAGAUACCCGGGUAGUCCCAGCUGUAAACGAUGCAAACUCGAUGAUGCGUUGGCUUAUUGCUAGCGCAGUGUCGCAGGGAAGCCGUUAAGUUUGCCGCCUGGGAAGUACGUACGCAAGUAUGAAACUUAAAGGAAUUGGCGGGGGAGCACCACAAGGGGUGAAGCCUGCGGUUCAAUUGGAGUCAACGCCUGAAACCUUACCCGGAGAGACAGCAGAAUGAAGGUCAAGCUGAAGACUUUACCAGACAAGCUGAGAGGUGGUGCAUGGCCGUCGCCAGCUCGUGCCGUGAGAUGUCCUGUUAAGUCAGGUAACGAGCGAGAUCCCUGCCUCUAGUUGCCACUAUUACACCCUGGUGUAGUAGGGCGAAUUAGGGGGACCGCCGCAGUUAAUGCGGAGGAAGGAAGGGGCCACGGCAGGUCUGUGAUGCCCAA
rnacentral:rRNA from 1 species